CUGCCUCUGGUAGCUGAGAAGUUUGCAACUGGGGGAGUGGGGGGGAUCCACCUGCACCUGACCUGACCAGUCUGCAGUUGACCUGCUUUUCUUAAUCAGGGAACAGGGAGCAGUUCGCACAGAAUGGAAGUCUGUCUCUUUUUCAGCUGUGCCAGGAAAGGGAGAGACAGGCGAGCACCUUUGCCCUCUGGGUGUGGCCAGGAGACCCAUCAGCCUUAGGCAGUGGAGAGUAGCCUAGCCCAAAGGCCGGGGGCCUCUGUGGUACAAGUGGCAACCAACACCUCAGCUCAACACCGGCUUCAAGAACGGCCUUCAGGACCACAUUCUGGGAAGUGAUGCCAAAAUCCAUCCUUCCGUUGGUCAUCUGCUGCAGCCGAGGGACGUCAACGGAGGUCAGCCACGAGAGAGACUGCAAAUCGCCGGGGAAGUCAUCUUCGCUCAGACGGGAGGGGUCCGAGCCCAACAGUCUACGGAGGAAUAACUUUGUGGGUUUUGUGGCUGUGUUGCCCUGGCCUGCUAGCCUGAAGAGCCAGUCGAGUCCCAUGCCUGAAAAAGAACAUCAGGUGACCGGUCUCCCUGCCCGGCCAUUGGCCCAACUGUAAGUAAACACCAGCAUCAGAUGGUUCAAAAUCGGGGAGCAGCCCUUGUCAUCUGCAGGAGUUGGUGGCCCUGCGCAUUGUAAGCCGAUAAGCCAUUGUGUGGGGGAGGCUGUUGGCUGCCGGCACGU